rnacentral:tRNA from 1 species
GUUGAGAUGGCCGAGUUGGUCUAAGGCGCCAGAUUAAGGUUCUGGUCCGAAAGGGCGUGGGUUCAAAUCCUUUUUGAAUA